GGAGCAUAGAUCAGAUGGUAGAACGCUCGUUUAGCAUGCGAGAGGUACAGGGAUCCAUACCCCGUGUCUCCA